rnacentral:rRNA from 1 species
UACGGAGGGUGCAAGCGUUAAUCGGAAUUACUGGGCGUAAAGAGCUUGUAGGUGGUUUGUCGCGUUGUUCGUGAAAUCUCACGGCUCAACUGUGAGCGUGCGGGCGAUACGGGCAGACUAGAGUACUGCAGGGGAGACUGGAAUUCCUGGUGUAGCGGUGGAAUGCGCAGAUAUCAGGAGGAACACCGGUGGCGAAGGCGGCCUGCUGGGGCAGUAGCUGACACUGAGGGCGCGACAGCGUG